rnacentral:misc_RNA from 1 species
AACAAGGCGUACCUGCGGACCUGCGGAAGGAUCAUUACACAAAUAACAUAUGAAGGCUUGUACGCGGCUGUGCCCUUCUGGGUGCAGCGUCUGCUGCGGCUGGAUUAUUUAUUUUCACCCUUGUCUUUUGCGCACUUGUUGUUUCCUGGGCGGGUUCGCCCGCCACCAGGACCACAUGAUAAACCUUUUUUAUGCAGUUGCAAUCAGCGUCAGUACAACAAAAUGUAAAUCAUUUACAAC